GACGAACGCUGGCGGCGUGCUUAACACAUGCAAGUCGAACGGAAAGGCCCUGCUUUUGUGGGGUGCUCGAGUGGCGAACGGGUGAGUAACACGUGAGUAAACUGCCCUUGACUUUGGGAUAACUUCAGGAAACUGGGGCUAAUACCGGAUAGGAGCUCCUGCUGCAUGGUGGGGGUUGGAAAGUUUCGGCGGUUGGGGAUUGACUCGCGGCUUAUCAGCUUGUUGGUGGGGUAGUGGCUUACCAAGGCUUUGACGGGUAGCCGGCCUGAGCGGGUGACCGGCCACAUUGGGACUGAGAUACGGCCCAGACUCCUACGGGAGGCAGCAGUGGGGAAUAUUGCACAAUGGGCGGAAGCCUGAUGCAGCAACGCCGCGUGCGGGAUGACGGCCUUCGGGUUGUAAACCGCUUUCGCCUGUGACGAAGCGUGAGUGACGGUAAUGGGUAAAGAAGCACCGGCUAACUACGUG
rnacentral:rRNA from 1 species